rnacentral:rRNA from 1 species
GAUGAACGCUGGCGGCGUGCCUAAUACAUGCAAGUCGAGCGAACGGACGAGAAGCUUGCUUCUCUGAUGUUAGCGGCGGACGGGUGAGUAACACGUGGAUAACCUACCUAUAAGACUGGGAUCACUUCGGGAAACCGGAGCUAAUACCGGAUAAUAUUUUGAUCCGCAUGGUUCAAAAGUGAAAGACGGUCUUGCUGUCACUUAUCGAUGGAUCCGCGCUGCAUUAGCUAGUUGGUAAGGUAACGGCUUACCAAGGCAACGCUGCAUAGCCGACCUGAGAGGGUGAUCGGCCACACGGGAACUGAGACACGGUCCAGACGCCUACGGGAGGCAGCAGUAGGGAAUCUUCCGCAAUGGGCGAAAGCCUGACGGAGCAACGCCGCGUGAGUGAUGAAGGUCUUCGGAUCGUAAAACUCUGUUAUUAGGGAAGAACAUAUUUGUAAGUAACUGUGCACAGCUUGACGGUACCUAAUCAGAAAGCCACGGCUAACUACGUG